AGGCCUAUAUAUGUCCCUUCUAACACACGAUCCAUUUGCCUGAAGAAGACCCGGUAGGGUCGAAACGUUGCUUUUUAAUAAAUUGGGGGUAUAAACAGUGUUGCGGUCAUUACAUUUAUUUUUUUUUUUACUUUAGCAGUUUCUUUUGUCCUGCACCUGCUAGAAGGUGGGAUAUGUACACAAUUACUUAUUUAACUGUUUUUGCUGUGCUCACAUAUUUAAAACAAAUGUGUACCUCCAACUACGAGCAAGCUAUUCAGAACAAUAUCAUCAUGCUUGAUCUCAGGAGUAACUCACAGAAGAAGUCCCUAAAACCAAAACAAAUCACAGCAUACAGCUUGAGACACACAAUCUCUCACUAGAAAAAAAUGAGUAGAACUUCAGAGGAUGCUGGAAUUGUUGACUGCAGCCAUGCAGUGGAGGUUUCACUGGGUCUGUUGGAACUUUCAUUGAUAGGUCAACCGCAAGUUUUGUGUUCUAAUUCCCCAAAACUUGACUUUCUCAUGAGAGGAGCAGCUCCUUAUCAGAGAGAUCCUGUGACCAUGAAUAACUCCCCAACCAGAUGGAGAGAAGUAUGGUGUACUAGACUAAACUUCUAGAAUGUUCCUGUACAUCUACCUAGUCUUUUUUGUUGGAAUGUGUUAGCCACACCAGACAGUAUCUCUGCUCCUCAAGUGAGCUCCUUUAUGAUUAGCCACACUGAAGACUAACUAUUAACAGCAACAGUUACAUGGAUUACUAGCGAUUACUAGUGAUUUUCAGUGAACACACACACACACACACACUUUUGCUAGGACCAAAUCUCCAUUAAUCACCAGCGUUCACACGGGAUCGGUGCCCGUUAUGAAAAAAGGGUCUUUUCUCUGAGUGGGUCUUGUUUGGCAUGCAAAACUCCCAAAGGCUUUUGGAAGAUUAGCGUCUGCAUGUCUGAAAGAUACUUUCGAUUUUUUGCAGUUUUUCUCAGCUGGAGGGAACUGAGGAAGUCCAUCUACACAUGGCCUCUUGUGUCUCUCUCAUGAUGGAGUAAACUGCUAGUGAAGCCUGAUUAGUAGAUGAAGAGAUGUAGAGAGAAACAAGAUAUCAACCACAUCACACACUUCCACACAAAGAAAGAUUAAACUUACUGCAGAUGUACAUUUCUCCAAAACAAGAUAUAAAGCAUUCUUCAUGCUUUAUACACACACACGCACACACACUUGGACCACACCAGGUGCUGUAGGGUGUGAUGGAGUUGUUUAGCUCAUAAGCAGACUUGUGUCUCUUCUUCAGAGGCAUGUGUGGAUGAAUAGAGCAGUGAUCCUGUAACGUCACAAAUGUUUCCUUCAAGGUUCUGGAACCAUCUGGAACCAUCCUGAAAAAGAACUAAACAGUUGUUGCAAAAUUUUGGAACUUUUUUUAAAGGACCCAGACGGUUCCAGAAAACUGAACAAGAAUCACUCAGUUUCAUUUUUGAGGAACUGACAGUUUCAGAAUAAUCUAGAUCAAGCAUUUUAAGUUGCUUACAGAUCUACAGAUCUUGGACAGCUUCAUAACCUCAAAAAACUACAUGGCAACGUCUUCAACUUCUCCUCAGCACUAGUUAAAUAAACCAGGGAGGUUAGAAGCCAAAGAUGAGGAUUCAGCUGACAUCUGGAUAACCUGAACAAUGGCAAUGUCCUUUCGAUUGGUCCAAUUGCAGCACAGCCGCCUCACAGCUCCAGGAUCCGGAGUUUGACACCGAGCUACGGUUACUGUACGUGUGGGUUUCCUCCAGGUUCUAACCACUAUCUAUAUUAUGUAAGUUCGGCCGAGGAGCCUGAGGGAAUGACUGUCCUCUCCUGCCAGCAGCUGGAAAGGGACAAAGCCAUGUGCUAGAACUACUGUAGAGUGAAUGGAAUUGAAAAAAUAUAAAUAUUUUCCAGAUAAAAUAUCGUUUUCUACUGCCUGAGGAAGAGAAUUAGUCAUUCCUAAUCUGCUUUUGUCAUUUGCUUCCUUGUGGUCAGAAAUAUGUUCCUAGACACGUUAGUGUAUGUGUGUGUGUGUGUGUGUGUGUGGGCAGCCUAAUGCCUAAAAAAUAUAUAUGUAUUUUCUUUAAUAAUUGGGAUGUGUAUAAAUGAAAUAAAGGUUGUUAUUUUUAAUGCUAUCCAAAUGAACUCGUUAUCUUGUUAAUGUACAAGAACGUUUCUUUAUCCUGGCCCCGAAUACGGGUUUGCGUAGACCAGCAAACUGAUACAUUCACUAGUAAAAGCUGUGUGAUGUCUAACUGAGGUGGUGGGAAAAAAAUGAGGCAGAUGGUAAACAAAGCAAUUUUGUUUGUAUUUUGCUAGUCUAAGAAGAUUUUAGACUAGAUGAAGCUGAGCUACUGUACAUUAUGUGUGUGGGGGGAAGGGGAUUUGUUUGUAAUUGUAAAGUUUUAGAGACAACGCAUGAUCAGUCUGUGUAAUCACCUGACACAAUAAAA